GUAGAGCCGGAGAACGCCCUGCACCCGCUGGCUGCUGCUGCUCCCCUUCCUGGUGCGGUUUCAACACAGGUCAGAUGACCCAGGGGAAUUUCUCCCAGCCUAGGAAGUGAAAAUGCCCUGAUCAAGUUAGAGGACUCUCAGGGUGGCUGCGGGGCCAGAGGACAGCUGAGGGCACUUCUGUCAGUUCAAGGAAAAAAAAUCCCAAGAACUAACAGGGAAAAAAGUGGGGAAUUGUCUGCUGGAAUGAUUUGCUGCUGUACGAUUUGAGUUUCACCAGAUCAUCUGUUGUGUGCUUUUCUGCAAAAGGUGUCUGGUUUCCUUAUAUUUUAUUCAGAAGUGGGACAAAUCUUUUUCUCCAAACCCUGGGACAUUUCCAGAGGAUGGAAAUUCCAGACAUCCUUACUAAAAACCCCAAAGCAUCAGCCUGUGACCAGUUUAAGCAACGAACAAAACCAGAGGAGCUGCCACGUUUCACUUCACCCAGGGAGCCCUGUCUCUUCUACCAGACAUUAGAGGAAAAGAUAAAUGACUUUUUCCCAUUCAAGCUGCAGUCUGCGACAUCAGUUAUCUUGGAGUGUAGAGGUGCAUUACAGGCACUGUGCUUGAGAGACUGCAGAUCUGCUCAACUCUUAAACAACAGGGUUUCCUGCUUACCCAGCUGGAGUCUCCUCUGGGCUUCUCCCUCUGCUGGAAAGACAAAACACAGCAUCCUCAACAGAUGCUUUUUGCCGAGUUGGCUUCUUUUUUCUUUAGCUUGAGGAAUUUGGGUGAUUAAUAGUGCUGACAGCAGACUGUAUGCAUUAACAUUAUCCUCUCCAUGAAAGCAGGAGAAAAAGCUUCUUGCAGUACCUGAUGCCUGCCUGAUCAGCUGGACCACAGAACAAAUCCUGCUGUAGUUCUUAGAUAAGCCCAGAUAAUCCUGGUGCUAAAUUAUUUUUAUUGUGUGUACAUCCUCCUUUUCAUUAAUAUUAACGUAUUUUUAAAAAUGUUGUCAGUGUAAAUAUGUUUGGCACAGAAGCAUUGCAAAGUUCAAGAAUAGUGCAGGCAGCAAUGGAAUUAAGAAAUGGGAUGAAAUAAACUACUAGAACUACAGCUUGAGUAAUCCUAUGUUGAAUAAACCAGAAGCAAAUAGUCUGGAAAAAUGAAAUAACUAUAGCAAAAACAUGACUAUUAAAAAAUUUCACUACUGAACAAACUAUGGUCAAGAAUCUGUAAAAACUUGGUUGAAAACCAAAGACUGCCCUCUUCUUCUCAAGUGCUCUCCAAAGCUAUUUAAAAAUAAUUUUGGUUAUCUACUUCACAUUUUCAUUUUUUAUGUAGGUCUAGAAAGCAGGUCUUAGGGCAAUGGUGAAUGGGUACCGAAAAGCCUACAAACACAUUUAAAUAAUAACAAAUUUGAGCAAUGGCAUUAAGGGUAAGUAAAAGCUCUGUAGAGGAAGGAACGUGUGAGUAAAUGUGGCUUGGGAUUUAUGAGAGGAACUGUGUGUUAAGUGCAGAUGGGGAUUAGAGGAAAAUUGUACACAAAGCAUAUUGGAAAGGUUAAUAUGACAGAAUAAAGGAGAAAAAAGAAACAGUAAGCCACCCAUCCUUGUGGAAUGAGGGGGGAGGAAGAAGAAAAGAGGAGCAAGGGAAAGAGGAGUGCUGAUUUUUCUGGGCAGGUACGACUUUUCAGUUGCUUGGAUGUUUAAAUUUUCUGGGCUAUUUUGUGCACAACAUCCUGUCAAAAACAUUUGCAUCAUUUGUUUAAAAAAACCCCAAGAAACUGUGUACACAACCCAAAAGCUGCAGAUGCUGCAGCACACUCUGGUGAGAUUUAUGAGCCACAUCACCCUCUUUUUCCAUGUGGCAGCUCUUCCUGUGGGGGAUGUUUAAUGAACCUCUGCAGCUCAGAAAUAAAAAACAGGGGAAACUCGAUAGCAAGCUCUCAAACCCUUUCCUUAAUUACAGAGCACCAUCUGUUCAGGGCCAGGCAGGUCCUCCAUGGACCACUCACAAGCCCUUCAGCACAGCUGGUGGUGGCUGCUCAACCCAGCCCAAGGUGGUUUUGGGGUACCAGGUCCCAUGGCAGUGUCUGUCACCGAGGGCUUCCUGGCAACCUGGCAUAAUAAGGCACAGCAGAUAACAGAGGUAACCCUGUUUUUUAACAUGUGCUACAGCCACGCCUGGCUAAUGAUCAAGCUUGCAGCCUGAUGAGAGUGGAGGCUCUUGUUGGGGCCUGGUGGGGUGAAGAGGUCCCUGGGACAACAAGGAAAGGCGCCAACAUCCCUGAUGAAGGUGUCUUGGAGGCUACAGGGGACCAUGUCUGUACCUGCUUUGCUGCAGGGCACUAGUGGAAAAUGGCACCAUUCUUCCUCAGAUGAGACAGACGUGCCUGGGUGGGCAAACUGCAGCCUCAGUGCUGGUGGAGCCCUCCCUGGAAAGCAGCAAGGGCCACUGAGGCUAUGCAACCCCAUCCAGGGGUGUCACCUCCACUUGACACAGAGGGCAGAUGCAUCUGGGGUUCCCCAGUCCCACAAGUCUGCAUCACACAAGGUGCUCCAGGAGAAAGGUCCAGGCUCUACAGAAGGCUCAUGUAGACAGGGCAAGGCAAGUUGCUGUAUGCUCAGGAGAAUUUUAGUUAGCACCCUCCCAGGCAUCUAGUGAAUGAACAGCCUUGGAAGAUUUUGUGAAUCUUUAGGACUCCAGUAUGUGUACAAAAUGACAUUAAUGGGACUAAAAUACUGCAUGUUUUCUCCUUUGUCUGAAGAGUCUCACUGAUCUGCAGGGAAUUUUGGAGUUGAAGAUGGGUAUCGGGCAAAAGGUACCCAGGAAACAAGAAAGUCCAUGCAGCUUUCCAGCAAUAUUGCUGCUGCUAACGUUUUCCAGGCUGCAGUUCUUCAGUGUCUAACAAGCACAAAUAAAUAUAUAUACAAUUGUAAUUUUUAAGCUUGCUGCAGGACCUAAGACACUCCUGUUUGCUGAAAAUCAAGAGGAUAUGGCUGAAGGUCAUGUCAAGUGCGUGCUCUUCCUUCCAAAAGACCUUGCUUUUCUUGCUCUGCUGUACAUGCGAUUGCUUUGCUGCUGCAGGGCUUGGGCCAGGUGCAGGUGAUAUGGGCUCAUGGUUCUCAUUGCCAUGUGUCACACACCUCCACACCACCACUUUCCAAGGGUCAGUAGCUAUCCAAGUUCAAGUCCUUCGGGGAUUUGCAUUGGAUGUCACCUCCAAGAUGCCUUCCAGCUAUCAGGUCAUGUCUGGCCAUGAGUUUUCAGGGCAGGGCAGUCCAGGGCAAAGCAGGCAGAUGCCUACAGAGUAAACCCAGAGUGACCUCUCUGACAUUUAAAAGCAUGCUGAUUUAAUACUUCUUUAAAGGAAGGGAAUUAAGGAAGAGAGUAAGGAAGAUUUGAAAAAUAAAGCCCUUUGGGGCACUGAAAUGCUGUUUUGGAAGGGAAAAUGCUGUUUUCCUUUAGUGCUGAGGCACCUUGAUAAUAAAUUCCUUGGAAACAUCCUGCAACACUUAGACAGACUAUAUUGACUUAUCUUUUAAUUUAUAAACUCAAAGAGUCUGCAUGUCAAUAAAUUAUGGAGCUCAUGAGCAACAAGAUCGUUCAGCUAUUUCCUGGCUCCCUUCUGCUGAAAACCAACUCAGCAAACAGUGUCCAAGAAGGACAGCUGAGCUGGAUCUUAUCCUACACUGCCAUAGUCUGGACUUGGCAGCACGUGAGACCCAUUCUGCAACUGGCAGAGUUUUUGGUCUGGUUUCCAGAGAGCUUGGGUAAAUACGCUUUUUGCCAUAUAGCUUCUAUCCCUGCUCGAACGCUGUCCGAGUAUGCUUUCAUGUGACUUCAGAAAUGGUUCACUGCAUGAAAAAUUCCCAUCAGCAAGAUUUUCCCCUACUUAUCUUUCUGUUUUCCUCUGUUUAUACCACUCCCCUCUGACCUGCUUUACUUAUCCCCUUCUUCUCUAUUCCUGACAGAAAUUUUCACUUUCUUUACAUAUGAAGUCCCACAACUUGCAAUUAACUUCCCCUUUAAAAACAACCCUCUCCACCUCAUACAAGUUCAGUUUGCCUUCUAUGCAGCAUUCCAUGGCUGGAGCUUGGCUCAGUUGUUUUCCUCAAACACGGUAUUAAAGAAAAGCUGUAAUCAAGCCCCUUUUUGAAUGAGUAAUACAACCAAGAGAAGGCUUUUGUUUCGCCUGGCUCUCCAUCAACACCCUUUCAAGUCAACUCCACAUCAUUUUAUAGUGUGUUGACACAAGCCAAAUCCAUGGGCUUUCACUUGAGUUCAGUGCUGUGUAGACCUCAAAGAAGAAGCUCCUUAGAGGUAUUUAGGUAUCUAAGUGCUUUGGAUCUGGUCCACUCAAGGUUUAUCUUAUGUGUCUCUCUUCUACGGGGCGCUCUGGCAAAGAAGUGUAAACCAGUUAAAUACUUGAGGAGAGGAAACCAUCCUGGAAGGGAGCCUGACUGGAGGCUGAUGGGGCCUUGCAGUGGUGGUGAGUCAGGGGCCCGUGGCUGGGGACUUGAUGUGAGCUGGGGUCUUCUCCAUCCCGUGAGGAUCCGUGGAAGCAGGGUGACACACUCCUGUUCAUGGGAGCCAUCUAGUCUUGCUGCCCCAAACCAGUCAUGUUUUGCAUGUGGACAGCAUCCUAUGGAAUCCAGAAGGGAACAGCAGAGGGCAAGGAGAUGACAGGCAGCAGGAAAGGAUAAUGCUGUGAAAAUCUGGGUCCACCUUGGGCUGGUCCUGUAUGCAAAAGCUGUGCUUCUAUAAGUAAACAAGACAUACCAGGGAGUGAGCAAGUGCCCUACUUUACCACCUUCCUUCUUUCACUCGUUAAGUCAGACUGAAUACUUUCUGCCUCCUCCACGCAAUGCGGGGGCAACAAAGCUGCCUGGCAAGUCAAUUCCCAUUGUGUAUCAGGAAACUCCACCUUUCUCCAUGCAGAUGACACUCUUCCCUCCUUUCUAAUGACUGGUUAUUUGCUUGCAACACUUUUCAGGUGUCACGUGAGUGCUAUGAAAUGCAGCUUCACCAGGGUUAUGUCAUUAUCCAUGUGUUUUCACUAGCAUUUUCCUGGCUUCUUGUAUUUCAAUUACAUCUUGAGGACUUGAUGCUCAUUUUAAGGUAAGGCCAAGAGAGUUCACCUUUCCCAGAUACUACAAGAGGAAGAAGUGCUUGUUGGAGCCAUUUUAUAGACCAUCAGAAUGGUUGGGGUUGGAAGGGACCUCUGGAGAUCAUCUCAUCCAACUCUCCUGCUAAGGCAGGUUCACCAGAGCAGAUCACACAGGAAUGUGUCCAGGCGGGUUUGAACGUCUUCAGAGAAGGAGACUCCACAGCCUCUCUGUUGCCAGUUCCAGGGCUCUGGUACAUCAAAGUAAAGAAGUUUCUCCUCAUAUUCAGAUGGAACCUCCUGUGCUUCAGUCUGUGCUUGUUGCCCCUCAUCCUGUCUUGGGCACCACUGAAAAGAGUCUGGUCCAUCCUCUUGACACCCACCCUUGAGACAUUUAUAAGCAUUGAUAAGAUGCCCUCUCAGCCUUCUCCAGGCUGAACAGACCCAGCUCUCUCCUCAUAAGAAAAGGCCCCUAAUCACCUUCAUAGCCCACUGCUGGGCUCUCUCCAGUAAUUCCUUGUCCUUCUUAAACUGGGGAGCCCAGAAGUGGACAAAAUACCCCAGAUGUACCUAAGCACUCUUCCUCAGUCCAAGCCACAGCCUUUUGCCAUCAGUGACAUGCCACGCAGGGAGCGCGUUGCUCUCUCUUACAGCCCGACAUGAAACCCUGCUGUCCUCCUGGAGCUGUUUUCAGCCUCCUACUCUUCUCCCCACCCCACAUACACCCUCCCAGCCAGCAGCAAUCUCCACAGUAAGAGUUCAGUGCAGCACGGCCCCUUGUGAAGUGUUCUGUAUGCCCAGACACAGCCCUGCACAUAGGUGCCUGCUGAGGCAAUGCGGAGUUCGCAGCUGCUCCCCGCAAGGGCUGGUGGGGAGGUCUGGUGCACCCCAGAAGCUCGUAUGGGUGGAGGCAAGCCCAGGGCUCUGCAUGUACAUGCUCAGCACAGCAGUCUUUUCAAGGCUCCACAUUCCAACUAUCUUCCCCGGGAGAAGCUUGUGAGCUGUGCUGUGGUUCUCCUCCUGAUCCUUUGCUGAUCCCAAGCGGGCUUGCUAUGUUAGUAACAUAGGUGCCGUCGUAGUGGGCUUGGCACUUGUAGGGAUCUGAGACUGACGCAUGAGUCAGCACCAGCUAUUCCCAGAAUUUGUCUUCCAGUGACCAUCCUUGGAAGUGAAGGUUGUGCUUGUUUGACUAAAACCAAGUUAGUUUUCCUUCAUGCAGUUAGAAACCUCUCUUUUUCAUAGCUAGCACGGUCAUUAUUUGAACUUAGUUUCAGAAUAAGAAGAUAACACCCCGGGACAGAGUUAAUGUUUUUAAUUGCUGUGGUCUGAGAGUCAAGGACUUUCUGAGCUCAGCCCACAGGUGUGAGGCAUCUGGAAGGGGAGCAUGGAUGGGGCAGAGAUUGACUGAAAUCCAGACUGAUCAAUAAGAGUAUCCCAUCCCGUUAGUGUCAUGCUUCUCAUUAAAGGAAUCUUGGGAUCUUUGGGAUAGUUUUUGGCUGGAGCCAGGACAGAGACCUGCUUGGGGGGAGUUCUGUUCAGGAGUUUCUUUAGUCUGGCCUUUUGCCAUCCUGCUAUUGGCAGAGACAUCUGGGCCUUUCUGCCUUUUUCUCUCUUUUUCUUCCUGAGAUCCGCUGUUCAGGACCAGGUGCUACUUCCUGGAACUGGCUGGUCAGUUAAUGAGGAAUUGCAUUGAGUAUCCUUUAUUUUAUAUUUCAUUGUAUAUAUUAUUAUUUUUAUUUAUGUUGUUUUAUUAAACUCUGUUUAUUUCAAUCCACAAGUUUCUCCCUUCGCUUUUGAUUCUCUCCCCUAUUCAGGGGUGGAAAGGGGGAGUGAGUGAGUGGCUAUUGUGUUUAUAUUGCUAGCUGGGGUCAAACCCUGACAAAGGUCUUCCCAUGGAUAGUGCCAUCUGCCCUCCAGAUGUCACUGCUGCCACACAAAUCCCCACCACACAACCCUGCCUCCCCCCCUGCCCAAUGCAGCUUGCAGUAAUGGAGAAUGUGACAAAGUAGCUUUGCACAUUUUCUUCCUUCAUCGAUUUUUCUCGCCACACUCUCAAUUGGAACAAGGCCUGAAAUUUGUUCAUCUCCAGGUGGCACACCGCCCUGAAUUCACUGCAGAGAUGACACAUGCCUGUGGCGGAGCAGGAGCUCUCACACUGACACUACAUCUAGUGCUUGUGAAAGAGGUUUCUUCCUGGAGACCCCACUGAUAAAUCAGACCUUGAGAUCUGGAUGGCAUUUGGGGGUUUUCCUCUUGUUGCUUGGGCUUUUGUUUGUUAGUCUGCUUUUAUGUUUUUGAUUGUCCUCCAUCCCCCUGCACCUGGUGCUAUUGCUGAUGUGACAGGACAGCCCCCGCCCCUUGAUCUCACACCAUGUGAAACACUGGGAUGCUGUUCAGUCUUUAACCUGGGCAGGAGUGCAGGGCUGGACCUACACACUAACAGUUUUGUGGACUGCCCAUCCUAGUCAAUUCGAUAACUGGAACAUAACUGAAAGUAAUAUUCAGUCCUAACAUCCCUGCUAAUACCUGUAGCUCUGGUCCUCCGUAGCCCUGUCCCUCUGCUUGUCGUGCUCUGAUUUGGCUUUCUUAUACUACAGAACCCAUUUGUGUUAUUAUUAUUUUUUUUUUAAUCUCCUCCCAACCAAAAGCACUGUACUGAAUGCUAUCCCUCCUUUUAAGGCAGUUUAAUCAAACCCACUUCUGCAGAGGAGAUCCUUUUUCUCUCCGUUUUCUUUUCUAUUGUGUUGAAGCCUCUUAAAGCCACCCGCAACUGUAAGAGACGCGAUAUCCUCACCUUGUAUGGGACUGUGCCAGAACUUAUGGAUAAAUGGCUAUUUUAUAGUCUGUAAUUACUUAUAUGGGGUAAGCAGUGGAAUAAUUAUAUGGGAUAAAUAGUGGGAUAAGUAUAUGGGAUAAACUGGCUCUUUUAUCAUCUUUAACCUCAUGGGGCACUAUGACAGAAAUGAUGGAUAAAAUGACUGUUUUAUAGUUCUUAACUACUUUGUAAAAAUACUCUAAAGCUUGGUGCAUGCCAUAUUGGCUAUGCAGCGGUGUGACAUGGAUUUUAGGUGUCCUAAGUGUGUGUUACUAAACAAAUGCCACUAGCUGGUGACAGCAGAAUGCAUUGCAAAAAUUCCUGAGCUGCUGCCACCCCACUGGCAUCACUGUGACACCUAAACGCUUCUCUGCAAAAGCCCGAUUUCCACUUUUGAUUCUCAUAAAACCCAAGGGAGAGGUCUGGAAGGAGUUCCCUUUACCAUUGUGUGCCAGUAAAUCCAAUACACUACCCUUCUGAGGAAUUCUUAGAUCAAGAAAAGGCAGACAGAAAGCAUCUUCUGUGUUGAAAAGACUAUGAGCUCUUUUUCUUCAUAGACGUAGAGACCAGAACUGGUGGAUAAAUUUCCAAGCUUGUUUUCUAACCCAUCUUCUGACUCCAGCAGUAUUUACUAGCUGGAAAGGGAAUCCACAUCUGACUUUCCUCUGUUGGUGUUUCUGAUACUAUGUGCACAAGGGAGAGGAGGGCUUGUGUCGUGGAGAACACGGACUGAAUUGCUGUGCUUGGCCCUAUCCAGCUCCCACUGAAAUCACCCAUGUCCUCAGCCUACUCCCACGGGCUGUGGAGCAGGGUUAUAAUUAAACACCUGUCUAAUCCAGGCUCAGGGGGGAGCAGAGGCUGCUGUGGACCUGCUUUCACAGGCAAAGCUGGUGGCAGCUCCCUAGCAGGGUUGAGGGACGGGUCUAGUUGACCAUGUCAGCGGGCCAAGGGGCUGCAGCAAAGGGCAAGCAGCUGGUUGCUGCAGCUGUGCAUGUGGGAAAUGGACAACUAGCUGAAAUGACGGUCUUUGCUGUGCAGGAUGGCAAGGUAAGAAAGCUGGUGCAAUUCAUCAUGAAGCAGAUGUGGCCUCAGCAACCCUCCAGGAGCAUGUUAAUAGGAAAUGCUCAGGGAUGCUCUUGUAACUGCAGCUGAUACCACCGAGUGAAGAAAAAGAGAUCUCUCCUGCCUCCAGAUAACAAGACAGAAGCAGAGUCAUGGGGAGGAGACUGACUUCUGUGUUCAGCUUUGGGCCCGUCACUACAAGAAAGACACUGAGGUGCUGGAGAGAGUUUAGAGAUGGGCAACAAAGGUGGUGAAAGGUCUGGAGCAGAAGUCUGAUCAGGAGAAUCUGGGGGGAGGCUAGGCUGGAGAAAAAGAGGCUGAGGGGAGACCUUAUCGCUGCCUACAACUACCUGAAAGGAGGCUGUAGCAUGGAGGGUGUUGGUCUCUUCUCCCAAAUAGCAAGCCACAGGACAAGAGCAAAUGGCCUAAGGUUGCACCAGGGGAGGUUUAGAUUGGAUAUUAAGGAAAAGCUUCCUCACAGAAAGGGUUUUCAGGCAUUGGAACAGGCUGCCCAGGGAAGUGGUGGAGUCACCAUCCCUGGAGGUGUUUAAAAGGCGUGCAGAUGACGCUCUUAGGGACAUGGUUGAGUGCCAGUGUUAGGUUAGUGGUUGGACUCUAUGAUCUUGAGGGUCUCUUCCAACCAAAAUGAUUCUGAUUCUAUGGCCGCCUUGGGAGGUGGGAGACAGGCUGCUCUCCUCCAGCCGUGUGCUGCUCGUGUGGAUGCAGCUUCCUGCAAGGACGUGAAGAAACAGGCAGCUUUAUAGAAACACAACACAGGUUUCUGUUUUAAUGAGAAAAUAAUUAUAUACUUGCAUCGUAGGCCUCACAGUCACUAUAAAACAGAAGCAGGAUAACAUUUAAGUGGUUAACAUACAGAAAGCCAGGUAUUGUUGAAACUGGUUGAUAAGUCAUGACAAGGAUGCCGCCUUUAGGUUGCCAAACAUGUCAAUGCUACUGUAUUUUCCUUCAGAUAAUGUCAGUAUGGAGCACGAUGAAGCCCAAACUGUCAGCUUUUAAAAUGAAUUGUUCAGGAAACCUGCACUGUAACCCCAAACUGAUUAUAAUCACAAAUGCUAAUGCUUAACUAUUUCUCAAUACACAGUUUCAUUAAAACCAGUCUUUGCCACGGGAAAGGAACUGAGCAUUUCUUUUGUGGAGACAAAGUUAACUCUGCAAUAGUGCUCUUUUGUUGCAUUUGAUAUAGUUAUAUAUAGAUAGAUAUGUAUUACUGGUGUAUACUUAUAAACACCUAAGCUUGGUAGCAUGCAAAUGAAAUAACAGAGGCAAGUAAACUGCAUCGCACUCCUGUUACCACAGCACUGAACGUGUGCUGCUGACUACAAGUGUCCAUAAUUUCUGGAAGAGAAAAACCCUGCUGGGUGGAAAGUUUGGCUGUCCUGCACUGAUGCAUGCACAUACUUUUGUCGCAGGGGCAGAACGCGAAUGCCUCUAGCAUGGAGGACUCCUGCCUGGCCUCUCUCCACCACCACUUCUCCUUUCAAGGGGUACAAUAUACUUUUCGCUUCAAAGACUGAGGGCUGACUGUGGCAGUAGGGGAGAAUGUGGCAAAGCAUGAAGAGAUGUCUUGGGAUGGGUAAUCAAGGUCGCUGGCUUCCAGUGAGAAAGCAGGAGGAAAAAACAGGCCUCCAGGUUAAAUAAAAUAAAGAUGCAGAUUCCUGGGAAGGGAGCAAAUAUGAGGGGAAACUGAAGAGCAUGGUUUGGUGCACAACCACCUCGCUGUAAGUACAAGGGCCAUCUCCUCUGCUCAGGAAACCCAUGUUUUUUUGUUUUUUUCCCAGUCUCACUCAUGGUCUCCCCAAGGGUGGAGGGAGACAGGACUCCUCUUGGUACCGCUGCGCAGAGCUCACAGCUGCGGCUGCACGACAUACGGUCUCACUAGAGUGCUGCAUUGAUGGCGUUGCUUUUCCUACAGUCUUACAGUAAUGACCCAUCCGCAGACGUGAAUCACAGUCCACUGUUGAUUGCCAUGUCCGAAGAAUGGGUCCCCUUCAUUAGGUAUGUAGUUCCUUCAUAGGCGCGGUGCCUCCCCACGCACCUGGAUUUGGAGAGCAUCCUUGAGAUAAGCUCGCUGCCCUUAUCACAGUGAAUGCUCAGUUCAGCAGGGUCUUCUGUUCAAUAGCACUUGGGGAGACAAUUAACAGAACUGAGUUAAUGAGUAUAUAUAAUUGUAUUUGCUACGAUUCCCUGAAAAUAAGCCUCAAAAUGAGUGUCCAUGGACAGAAAUCACAUGCUGGAGGAACAAGUGGGGUGAGGUGGGUGGAAUCAUUUGGUUGCAAGCUCUGUGUUUAAGAAAAGCACCAGAAGUAUGUUCACAGUAUCGGUACUCAUUUUAAAUGAGCUCACUGUUUCAGGAUAUAACAGCACAGCAGGUCAUGAAAUCAAGGAAAGGCUUAAGGGAGGACCAGUAUCCUGGCUGCUGAUUUUUAAAAAAGAUGUUAAAAUAAUAGUUUGUUUAUAAAAAAGACAGAAAAUUUUAUAUAGAAAAAAGCUCGAUGUCUUUUUUUUCUGUCACCUCCCAAACUUGUUGGUUUCUAGUCCAGAAAUUAUGGUUCCCAGUUGUAAAAUAUUCCUAUUGUAUUGCUUGCAUGAAAAGGAAAGAGUAAACCCGCAGCCUCUAUACUACAUACAAAUACAAAGCACAAGAAUAAAUACCACAUUUCUUUUCCUAAUUGUCAGCUUACAAAACUGGUCAAUACUUUGCAAUUGUGACUCAUGCAAAUACCAUGUUGGGUCAAAUUUUAAUAUCACAAAUACUGCAUUAACUCAGUGCCUUGUUUUUAUAUCCCCUUUCAGAAAGAAAAAAAAUAGCACUCACCCCUAUAGCUGGUAAAACAGCUUUGGAGAAAAUAAUCAAUACACACACUGCCAUACACGUUCUGGUAUGUCAGCCUCACACACACACACACGUGCCCAAACAAACACACACACACACACACACACA